GUGGCGUUCACCUGGCGCUGUGGCGUACAUCACAGCCGUGUCCACGGGAACCGACAGCUGCUGCGAGAAGCUGAACUCGGCAUCGUCGUCACCGGCUGAGUCCACCUCCACGCCGUCGUCCAGCGCGUCUCCCCGACAGGCCUGCAGGGGGCAGCGACACGACAGAGUCCUCAGUACAGAGACUCAAGAAGAAAAAUAAGAUGUCCGGGUCACGGGUGAACACACAAGCUGCGUCUGGUGGGCGUUGUUGUCGUGACGACCUGGUGACAACCUGAGACUGUGUCAGAUCUGGACAGUUCACUGAUCGGAUGAUGUGAUGAUGAUUUCAUGUCAACGGCGAAGUUAGAAUCUCUGAACUCUGACAAUAAUAAAUAUAAUCUAGAAAA